rnacentral:misc_RNA from 1 species
AUCUUUGAUACACAUAUUAAACAUAACAUUCAUCAUUUUUCAGCUCAUAAAUCCUUCAUUUAAGAGUUGUCUGCUCUUGAUGCACUCACAAUAAUGCUUGGACUUUGUCGGUGAACCUGACACAAUUCUAGUUAAAGCCUAAAUAAAUAUAGAAGUUGGACAGCAUAACAAUCAUUUCCCUUUCGCGGAGUUAUCACACAGAAUAAACUUUUUACAAUAACCAGACAGCAUUGCCCGCAUAGACAAACAUUCACUUUGACUCGAACCAACAGAAAGCCACAAAUGAAGGAUAAGCCGAAUGAUUGGCACAGAGAGCAGUACAACAAACUAGAGCACAUUGUGCAACCUGACAGAGCCAAAAUAGAAAGGCAAGCCUUGAAGUAUCCACCUGAGCUAUAUGGCAUGCAAGCCAAACUCAGCGGAGGAAAUUCUUCAUUGGGUCAUCGUGAUGUAUUUUUGUCAUCCUAUAAGCCUC